CCUUUCACAUACCAACCAGCAGCAUUCCACCAGCGACAGCUGAGAGCACCCGGAGGGAGAAUCUCCAAGCAACAUUCAUUAUUUAUUUUAUUUUUUAUUUAUUAUUUAUUUAUUUAUUCUUAGUCAUCCUCGCUAGUGAUUUUGCUUUCUCAGUGAAAGUUUCAAUGUUCAAUCAGUGACUCUAGUCUAAGUGAAGUGAAGUGUAAUUGUGAAUUUCCGUUAAUAAAGUGAAAACCAGUGAAUCUCUAAACUGUGUAUUAGUUAAAGAUUUCCCUUUUGCAGCCGAGGGCCAGAUAUGUCGGCUUCGGUGUUCGCCUCCUUGGGUGUUCGCCAGUGUCCUUGGGUGUUCUCCUGUAUCCUGAGGUGCAGCUUAUCGUCCUAGCAACAUUCCCAUUCCAGACCACACAAGACUCGGGGCUUUCACCAGUGCCACCCUCUUUGUAUCACUCGGUGUUUGUAGAUGUGAGAUUUUUGAGCUAGAUGUUCUUAUACCAUAUGCUUUCAGAUCAGGUUCUCGUAUCUUGUGCACUUUGUUUACAGCUUUCGUGAGCGGUUUGGUGGUGGAAUGGCGGUCACCUACCAACCCGUUAGUGCUGCUCAUCCCCCGGUCGUGUGGUCAGGUGUUCCCCUCCCCCCUUCCCCCGCGCCGACCACUCCACACUUGGUUACUCGUUUUGUUUACAUAUAUUUCAUUCACAAUGAAAAUCUCAAUCUUUAACAUGCUCGUUGGGUGUAAAGUUACCAUCAUUGGCAAUUGCAUAUGUUUGAUAUCUCUUGCCAGUCAUCAACCACUGUCAUCUUACACUCUCUCUCACUCCAUGGCCUGUUACCGUCCUGGCUGGGAGAUCUUGCUGGAGUCUACAUAGCAAUGGAAGUCCACUGCGGGUUCUUCCAUCGGCUGGGUUGAGGUAUGGUCGGUAUAGUGCUAACACUUCAUUUUCUUCCAUCUCAUUCAUUACAAUAUUUAGCCUUACAGAUCAUUAUUUUUCUGUUCUUGCUUUUCCCAUAUUCAAUGGUGUAAAGUCAUUGGUGCAUGAUUUUUAUUUCCCAGAUAAUAUUGGUGUAGGACAGGUAGGGACCAGUAACUAGUAUUUUCAGUCCGACCUGUUGCACCUGCCGAUCGGUGUGAGGCGGUUGCUUGCACAUCUCCGGAACCAGUUGCUAGUACUUUCAGUCCCUGUUGCGCACGGUGAACGGUGUGUGGCGGUUGUUCGCACUUCUCCAACUACCCAAGUUUUCUGUGGAGGUGAGCAAAUAGUUUCCAAGGUAGAAUAUAUUCAAGAAAUUGGUAUGAAUACAUUUUUGGGUAAUGGAAGUAAUGAGUACUGAAGUUCUAAAGUGUUUUCAUAGAUAUCAGGUUGAUUUAUCAGGAUUGCGAAGUUGAUCCUGGUUUAACAAUUAGCAAAUAAAAAAGAUUAGGGGGUAUAACCGUACAUGCAGAACCCAGAGAAUACAAAUAAUUGAUGGAAAGGGGUAGAGUUACUGGCAACAUAGGUGAAUUAUGGGUUGGUGAGGUGUGGGCAGAGAACAAGUGGAUGGAAUGUGAAAUGGUGAUAAAACAGCUGAAGGAAGUGAAGUUUGGGCAGUGGGGAACAGGUGGAUGGAAUUUGAGGUGGAGAUCCCAUUAUUAGGUGAAGUUUGCGCAGUGAGGAAGAAGUGGAUGGAAUAUGAGGUGAUAACCAUUAUUGGAGGAAGCGAGGUGGAGUCGUGUGGGUGAUCUGUUGGAUAUAGAUUUGCAAGCAUGGAGGUGUUUUUUGGCUUGGCAUAUUGUGAAGUGAAAGUGAAGAAAGUGAAAUGGCUCAGGUGGCAGGUUAGUGCUCGCCUAGCACUCAUGGUAGGGCAGCCAAGCUGGUCCUGCUGCACGUGGUGUGGAUGGUAUGUGAUAACAUGACAGGUUCAUGUAUUGUAACUGGGAAGAAAUGGAACCUACAAAGAGGAAAGUGGGAUUUCAUGUGGCGUUAGGGACUAAUAUUGCAAGGAAGGUGGAAGGAUGUUACCUGUCGAAGUAUUAAACAUUUUUACAAGGGGAGGUUAGUUUUUGUGGUGGGUGGGAGUGGAAAUAAUAGUAUUUACAGACCAUGGAGACCGCGGAAACCACAAUUUAUGAAGACCUGGCAGAAGGGAAAUGAAGCGCUGGCAUGUAAUGCUACCAGGUUUACUAGUGUGACAAAGCUGCAGAUUUGGUGCUAAAAAGUGAAGAUUUUGUGCAUCUUGGCAAGUUUCUCCUCGGCAACAGGUAUUUGAUUCGAUGCGACUAAUUUUUAAAGGAAACCUUAGCUUUUGCUCUGAAUUGUCUUGGGUAAAUUUAGCAUCGUGUUCAUUUAGUGUUGUAGUGGCAAUUGUUUUCAGCUUAAGCGCUGUGGUGCAUAGUAUAAAGAAAAUUUGGAUAUUUACGCAUAUGACAUUUAAUUCUGAGUUUGCCUCAGUGCAGUUGCAAAAAAGCAUGAUGGUUUUCUGUAUGUCAAGUUGGUAUGGGAAGGUUUUAAACCUGUCAUGAGUAUCUUUGGAUUGGGUUGGGGGGAAAAUAAUGGUACUUCCAGACUUCUGAAGACUACAAUGAAAGAACCGGGUCGAACGGACAUAAGGUGCUGACACUGAACACAAAUGGGUGACGGAAAACAAAUAAGCACUGGAAGGUCAGUCAGUGAAAGAACAAGGAUGGUGUAUGGAUGUGGCCUGUGAAGUGUCUUCAGCAGACAGGUAAUUAUGAAGUGGAAUGCUUGAUCAGUGUUUGGUAAAUUCAAGUAGUUUUGAUAUCUUUAAACAUUUUGUUGGAGUCAGUACUACAUAAUUAGAUUCUAAACUUGAAGACUUUUGGUGGGAUAGCUUAGCCUAUCUUGCUGUAUGCUGUAGUUGCUUUCUUUGCACAGAAAUAUUGACGAUUAGUUGUGCAAUAUUGGUGAAGGAGAAUUCAGUUUUAACAUAAUGUAGGAACAUGAGGGUACGUGUACGGGGUGGAGGGAAAGGUGGUGGUACUUGCAGACUCCCGAAGACCUGCAGGCUGCUGUGUAAGACUGAACGGAUACAAAAUUACAUGAAGUGUUGGCAAUGGAAACAUCAGGUUCACGAAUGACAAAGCUGGAAGUUUGGAGAAAGACGGCAAAGGAUUUGUAUACAUCCCUUAUGAAGUCCCUCCUCUUCAACAGGUAUUUAGUCUCAUCCUAUACUGAAGGCUAAAUUGUUCAAAAGUUCUCUUUGUUAGCAUUUAGAUCUAGCAUUUAGAUUUAGCCUUUGUGGAAGCCAUAAAGUUUAUUUAGUUGGUAGAUUAAUGUGGAGUCUUGACAGAAAAAAGUGUAUGGGUAUUGCAGUGUUGUAGGGAAAGGAGUCAAACUGAAACGUGUGUGAAGGUGAGAUUUAUCGUAUCUUCAGCAGCAGGACAGCCAAGUCUGUGUUGUAAAUACUAAGUGAUAUUCUAAUAUUAGCGUAGGUGGAGAAAAACGAAGAAUUUUAAGUCGUAGUGUUUGAAGCAAGAAACAAAGUUGGAGGUUUUGUUAGUAGAAGAACCAAAAUUCUGUGAUUAUUGUUUUUGAGCAGUUUCAGGAAACAUGUAGAUUGAUGGUAUUUUAUUUUUAUUUUCUAGAUACAUGGAAGCAAUAUUGAUUUUAGUGAAAAUAGAUGUAUCAAAAUGAACUCCAGUAGGAUUUUGCCAGGACGUAAAGUGGGAUAGCAAAGACUAUCUUGCUGUGAUUGUGAUGCAAUGGUGUUUGCCUGAAGAAUGCAGAACUAUAGUUGCUCAACAUGAGCGGUUAGGGAUGUACAGAAUAUGGCAUUGUACAUUCGUGUAUGUUAGAAAACAAAAUUACUUCGUGAAGGCUGCGGGAUGGGGUGGCGGAAAUAAUAAUACUUGCAGAGUUGAAGAUGAAAAGGAAGGCGAAUAAAGGAAGUGCGGGCAUAGACUCUACCUUGUUCAAGAAUGACAAAGCCAGGUGCUUUACCGGGUGCAUGCGUCGUGGCAAGCUUGUCAACAAAAGGUAUUUAGUUGGAUGUAACAUUAAUGGCUAUAUUGCCUUAGAAAUUUAUUUCAUACUUAAAAGUGUCAGCAUUAAACUUAGUAUUGUGACUACAGUGCUUUGUGGUAACUAAAUAGUUUAUCCCAAACUAGUAAGUGUUCCCUCAGCUUUCAAACACUGCUGCCUUAGCAUGAAAUUCACUGAGUAAACCAAAAGUGCAUUUGUAUUGUGAAAAAAAAAAGUUGAGCUGCGUCUUAUUGCCUUAGCUUCGUAGUGGGCAGAAGGGGAUGGGUGUGGUUAUUUUUCUUUUAAGAAUGAUGCCUGGGUAUUACUUCCAUCCUGCCCUGCUCUUGUUGACUCACAAUGAAGACCAUCAUGGCAUACUAUAACAUUCACUUCGUGGCACACAGGUAACUACGUUGAGAAGUUUUAUUCAGUUAGAGAAACUUCCAUAUAAAAAAAAAAAAAAAUCUAAAAGUCAUCGUAACUGGGUGGGAUGCUUGCUUUGGAGUAAAAUUAUUAUGGAAAGUAAGAUUUGUUGUGGGGUAAAUUGGAUGAGGGUGUGGGAAGUUACUUUAAUUUUAGGUGGCACUACAAAGCAGCAGCAGUUUCACUGACUCACCGGUUUGGCUUGAAGAUAGUUUCACAAGGUUAACCUGUCUGCUCUGACAUCGAGAGAAGCUAACAGUGAUUGCUGUCGAAGGUAAAUAUUGUUUGAAAGUUUGGUGUUUAAUGUUUUCAGUGUUUGCAGGAGCUAACAUGGUUUGGGCAUUUUUCAUCUUAAAAAAAAAAAAAAAAAAAAAAAUAUGAUCAAACAAUCAAAUUUGUUUGUAGCAGUAUCUAUAGAUACGUUGAUAUGGAAUGGCUGAUGUGGAAAAAUUAAAAGCCAAAAAAUGGCGAAUGAUUACCUGAGUGGAGACUACAAGUUUGCACCAUUCCCCCUAUGGAAAAAAAAAACCCUUCCACUUUAGUUUACAGUGCAACCUCGGUUACCGAACAGCUUUCCUUUGGAAUAAUUUUGUUUAUGAACAAAAUUUUGAACUCCUAAUUGUUUUGGUUGCCAUACUAUAAUUAGGUUCUUGAAUAAGCUACACGGCAGCUUUAUUUUUUAUUUGUAAAUUAAAGUAAACAACACACAUCUACACCGCAUAACUGAUGUGUUUAGUAUUGGGGGUGUGGCGACAUUGUGUUGACACUUACCAGUUGAGCAGUCCCCGCGCUCUCUGAGGCUUGAGAGAAAACUGCAGGAUUUGCGUUUGUUGGGAUAACUGAGCUAGAAGUCUCCUUACAAACUGAUUAUCGUAUCGUCGUACUUUUGUGCUCGUGUAAUGAAAAUACUUUUAAACUUGUUAAUCUCAUCUAUUUCCGAUUUCGAAUGGCAUUCAGGCACAAAUUAAGUUCGAGAACCGAGGUUCCACUAUUAGAUUUUAUCUUUGGAGUGUGGUGGUUGUCUUGCAUGGCUGUCCAUGGAAGUUAAUAAAUCUGCAUGCCCAUCAGUACACCCUGCUGAGCCAAGUUCUAGUGUACAUGCAUGGAGGGCAUCUGCAUUUCUCUAUAUGACUGGAAAAACUGUGUCAAUGCAGUUUAUUCUUAGUCACGUAAAUACAGCAUUAAAUUCUUACCUUAUUAACACAUCUUUUAGAAUAUGCCAUCUGACAUGAAGUGUAUUGGCUUGAUAAACGUGAUUGGAUAGUUAGAAUGUUAGGGGCCAUUAAUGAAUACUUUCAGUGUGGCCUGUGGCGUUGCAUUUGGUGUGAUACGGAAGUUUUGCUACACUAGCCCAGAUAAAUCCACACUCAAGGUGAGCCCUUAGAAAGUCCCCAUUUGACAUUUUCCAUAUAGAUUUUUUUUUUUUUUAACCAUAGAAAAGGUGAAGUUCUAAAAAAAAAAUUGAAGGAAUAACGUAAUUAUUAGAAUGAAGCAAGACAUAAUAUUUCAGACGGAAGAGAAAGGUAUUUGGGGGUGGGAAGGGUAUGAAGUAAGUGUCUUUUCAGAGUUAGUAAGGCUACCACCAGCACCACACGUCACUUCUCUUUGUGUCAGUUAAAUGUGCAUCAAAGUACUUCAGGAAACGAGGUAAUUCCAGUGAUGGUAUUGGCUACAGUGUUAAAGAAAAAAGUUUUCAGAUCCUACAGACGUGAAUAUAAAGGGGUGGGGGGGCAUAAUAAAAAGAAUUGUCUUUACAGGUUUUCGUAAUAGGUUUUCCUUCUAGAUCUUCAGAGCACACACUUCAGAUAUUUCUCUGCAGAUGAGGUAAAUGUGUAUUUAGUGGCUGUACAAGCAAUAUAUGUUUUAUAGAUGGAAGUAAUAGUUGUGUCUUGUGACAAGGAUUUAAGUUGAGUAAGUUAAUCGUGAUUACUAUGCAGUAGCAGAAAUGCCAUUUUAAAAAUAACAUGUAUAUAAUAUGGGAGGGCAGAAAUUUUUCUGGGGAAGGGGUUGGGAACAAUAAGAAAGAUUGUCUUUACAGGUUUUGCAACACUGUUUUAUCCUGGUAGUGUGUUACCAUCACCAUGAAUUCAUCAAAUCGUGCAUCAGAAGAGGUAAACUACAAGGGUUGUUUGGGGCGGCGGGGGUGGAGGGCUGAAUUAAGUGUCUUUACAGAAUUAGACCACCAACAGCAACACACAUUGACUUCACUUUCCACCUGCUAAUAGUGUGCAUCAUUAAGUACUGCAAAAUACAAGGUAUUUCUAAUGGUGAUGUUACAUGUCAUGUUUUAUAAUCUUUGGCAGAUUGAGCAUGAAUAUAUUUGGGGUGGGGGGCACAAUAGAAAACUUUGUCUUUUACAGAGUUUUGCAAUAGGUUUCAUCCGGAUCUUCAAUGCACUACAUGCUUGAAAUUUCACGACCCAGAUGAGGUAAACACAUCGUUUGCGAGUGCAUGACAUUGGUAUCUGUUUGAUGGAAAUGGUGUUUUAGCAUUUAGGAGGUACCAUGUUACAUGAAAAAAAUUGUACCGAUUUUUCAUUGAACAUUGAGGUAAUCAGUUUAAGAAAUAAGAUAAAAACAAUAUAAACAAUUCUAGUGGAAUGGAUAGGUAGUUUGGGAGAGUGGGGAGUGUGAACUAACUGUCUUUUCAGAGUUAUUAAGACUACACCAGCAGCACUACACAUCACUGACUUCUUCACUUUGUCCCUGUUUGUACUAUACAUCCUUAAGUGCUUCAAAAAGUAAGGUAUUUUUAGUAAGGGGUUAUGUAACAUGUUAGUAGAGACUUGAAUAAUUUGAGCAUAUUGUAUAGGAUUAUUUGGGUUGGGAAGGGGGCGGGGCAGAAUAAACAAAAUUAUCUUUGCAGAUUUUCAUAAUAGAUAUUCACCUAGAUUACCAUUGCAGCACAUGAACAAGAUUAUUCAUCACACUCAUAUAUAAGGUAAACAUGUUGCUUGUCGUAAGCAGUCAAAAGUCUGUUCGAUGGAAAUAAUGUAGAAAUAAUAUUUAAUGGUUAUUUAAUACAAGUAUGUAAAUGUGAUCUCCCUACAAGUAGCACUAAACCUUGCUCAAAUCUUGCCAACAUACAUUGAAGGGAGGGCUGAGCUGUUUGUUGGAAUGGGGUUGGGGGGGGGGGCAAUAAAAAAGUUGUCUUUACAGAGCUUGUACUGUAUUAUGGUUUCAUCCAGAUAGUGCUCUAUUAUCACCUUGUGUCCAUGACAGUGAGCAUCGAAAACAAGGUAACCUGCGAAAGCUUUCUUUUGGGAGUGGGUGGGGAAGUGUGAACUAAAUAUUUUUCAGAGUUGGCAAGGCUUCACGAACUGUGACAAAUCGCUGAAUCCACGUUGCAUCUAUUACAUAUUGCAGUGAAUAAGGUAGUGGUGAUUACAGUAUUACAUUUUAAAAUCUCUGGUAUAUUAAACAUGAAUAUAUAAAUAUAAGGGAUAAUGUUGUUGGGUUGCUGGAGAGAGUUGGUGGGGGUGGGGGGCACUUAAAAAGACUUGUCUUUACAGAUUUACGUAGUUUUCAUCAAGUCCUUCAUCACACAAACAAGACAUUUCAUCUUGUGCGAGGUAAAAUAAUUUUGUUGGAAAGAUACAAAUAAUUUGCAAGUGUGUUUAUGUAUGUAUGUAUGUCAGUCAUUUUAGUCUGAAAUCUUGCAAAACUAACAUAUACUGAGCAUACAGGGAUGGGAGGGUAGAGUUGUUUGUUGGGGUGGGAAGGCGGGUCUUAAGAAUUUUACAGUUUUUGUGUGAUGGUUUCAUCCUUUAUCUGCAUCAUCUUCACACAUCCUUGAAAUAUGACCCAAGAUAAGUUUAACAUAUUCCUAAUGUAUAGAUUGAUAUUUUAUCCUUCAACAGUUAAGCAUUGCCUAAAAGCAAUUCAGAUAACCUUGUGAAAAAAAAAAAGUUAUCCUUUCAACAGUUAGUAUAAUGAAGUUAGGAAGAUAGGAUAACAUUUAUUUAUAGGGGAUGGAGGACUUAAGGUUGGACCAGAUGGGCCUUCAGAUUGGCUGGAGAUGGAUGCAAUAACACUACGUUGGAGCUUAGGAAGAUGUUCACGCCUUGAGUUAGCAUCAUAAUGUGAAGUCUACUAGCCCUCAUCAUGUGUAUCAUGCAUCUUUGUUAAAUAAUUUUCUGUUGGAUAUAUCGUUUAAUUAAGGACAGUGAUAGGUGUUUUUAUAUCAGACAUUGUGAGUCAACAUUAAUGCAGUAAGGAACUGUUAUUCUAAAAAGUAGUGAUUGUUUUAUUUUUUAUAUUUUUUAUUUAAUGGUAAAGAUUUGAAUAUUUGUAUUCCAUUCUUAGGUUGCAUUGCACAACAUAUUUACUACUUUGAAAAUUACUGUUUAUAAAUAAUCAUAAACUUUGUGAUUGCCUAUACAAAUGAUUAUAUUUAAUUUGUAAACUUAAAGGAAAUGCAGCUUUGAAUUACCAGCUUUGGGUUGCAAUACCCUUAGGGGUGAUUCAUUUGCUGGUCACUCUUGUUGUGUGCCAUACGUGGGCUUAUAAGAAGAGUGGGAAUGUGGGUGGGACAUUUCCUUUAAGUAAAAUUUAAAUUAGUUGUGUAAAUACUUUCUGAAGAACUAAAGAAGGAAGAAAAAUCCUGAAGGUAGAUGUUGGACACUGGCUUCAGGUGUUGAUUUAUGCGGGACUGAUGUAAGGGAGGCAGUAGUGCAUUUGUAGGAGUAGGAGUAGUUGGACCGGAAGAUUUACCAAUGGCAGUUUGGAAAAGCGUUUAUGAGG